ACCACCAUUACCACUGUUGCCAAUUUUCUUUUCAGCAGCACCUGAGCCAUAUGGUGGGAAAUGCUCCAAACCAAAGAAUCAGCUUGACACAAAUAGAAGAUUUUCGACCCAAACGGAAAGCUAUGACAAAUAUACUUCAGGAUUUUACAAUGCACCACGUUGGAGGAAAAGAAAUCCACGUGAAAAUGCAUACUAGGAGCCAAGAAGACUUGGAAGAGAAUAACAAAGGAGAACGAUAUGUAGACAUGAGAAAGAGAUGAAAUGAGUGUGUUAGUUUACAAGAAAAAUCAACUGGAAAAUCUAUAGAUGAAAAAGUGGCAAAUUCAAAAAAUAAGAUGCAGGAAGUACACUGUAACAUUUCAGAACUGAUAGAAAUGGAAAUUUAAAACUAUGCUCUGGAUGGUCACAUAUAAAUGUCUUCAAUAUAUUCAGUAAAUUUUAUCUUAUGAAAAUU